rnacentral:rRNA from 2 species
UACAGGGGGUGCAAGCGUUGCUCGGAAUUACUGGGCGUAAAGCGUGCGCAGGCGGUCCUGCAAGUCGGGGGUGAAAACCCGGGGCUCAACCCCGGAAUUGCCUCCGAAACUGCCGGACUUGAGUACGAGAGAGGGUUGCGGAAUUCUUGGUGUAGAGGUGAAAUUCGUAGAUAUCAGGAAGAACACCAGUGGCGAAAGCGGCAACCUGGCUCGAUACUGACGCUCAUGCACGAAAGCGUGGGGAGCAAACAGG